rnacentral:rRNA from 1 species
UACGUAGGGGGCAAGCGUUGUCCGGAAUCAUUGGGCGUAAAGCGCGUGUAGGCGGCUUUGCAAGUCGGGUGUGAAAGCCCUCGGCUCAACCGAGGAAGUGCGCCCGAAACUGCAGAGCUUGAGUACCGGAGAGGAUGGCGGAAUUCCCCAAGUAGAGGUGAAAUUCGUAGAUAUGGGGAGGAACACCGGUGGCGAAGGCGGCCAUCUGGACGGAUACUGACGCUGAGACGCGAAAGCGUGGGGAGCAAACAGG